rnacentral:rRNA from 1 species
UAGGGAAUCUUCCACAAUGGACGAAAGUCUGAUGGAGCAACGCCGCGUGAGUGAAGAAGGUUUUCGGAUCGUAAAACUCUGUUGUUGGAGAAGAACAGGGACUAGAGUAACUGUUAGUCCUUUGACGGUAUCCAACCAGAAAGCCACGGCUAACUACGUGCCAGCAGCCGCGGUAAUACGUAGGUGGCAAGCGUUGUCCGGAUUUAUUGGGCGUAAAGCGAGCGCAGGCGGUUUCUUAAGUCUGAUGUGAAAGCCUUCGGCUUAACCGAAGAAGUGCAUCAGAUACUGGGAAACUUGAGUGCAGAAAAGGAAAGUGGAACUCCAUGUGUAGCGGUGAAAUGCGUAGAUAUAUGGAAGAACACCAGUGGCGCAGGCGGCUUUCUGGUCUGUAACUGACGCUGAGGCUCGAAAGUAUGGGGAGCGAACAGG